rnacentral:rRNA from 1 species
GACGAACGCUGGCGGCGUGCUUAACACAUGCAAGUCGAACGAUGAACCGAGAGCUUGCUCUUGGGGAUUAGUGGCGAACGGGUGAGUAACACGUGAGUAACCUGCCCUGGACUCUGGGAUAACCCCGAGAAAUCGGAGCUAAUACCGGAUAGGACCUUGCACCGCAUGGUGUGGGGUGGAAAGUUUUUUCGGUUUGGGAUGGACUCGCGGCCUAUCAGCUUGUUGGUGAGGUAAUGGCUCACCAAGGCGUCGACGGGUAGCUGGUCUGAGAGGAGGGCCAGCCACAUUGGGACUGCGACACGGCCCAGACUCCUACGGGAGGCAGCAGUGGGGAAUAUUGCGCAAUGGACGAAAGUCUGACGCAGCGACGCCGCGUGUAGGAUGACGCCUUUCGGGGUGUAAACUACUGUUGUCCGGGACGAAACCCUCCUUUCGAGGAGAUUGACGGUACCGGGUGAGGAAGCACCGGCUAACUCUGUGCCAGCCGCCGCUGUAACAC